GUCCAUGCUUUUAUCUUUUUCAGAUCAAAAAUUGGCCACCAAAUUGAUGGAAAAAUCUUUGAACGAGCGAUGAUGCAAUCAUCAUUCAUUUUAUCAUGGAAAAUUGGCGAUUGAUUUAGCUUAAGAUUGAUUGACCCAAAACUAAGAUUGAUCGGUUUCAAUCGUUACUGAUAUAUACGCAUUAUGAAAACUUAGAAUAAUUACAACUAAUUUUUCGGAUGUGAUCAUUUGCCCGUUGAACAAGA